ACAGAAAGGACCCAAACCAGUCCACCUGGGAAUCAAACCCAGGACCUUCUUGCUGUUCAUUUGUCAGAAAGAUUGGCCACCCCUGGACAAAGACAGGGCCGAGAGCGAGAGGGUUAGAACCCUUAAAGCUGCAAGCAAUGACAAGAUCAGCAGGUUCAAAGCGGCCAGGUUCAGGCCUGUAACACAUUCCAAAAAAAGUUGAGACGGGGAGAUUUAGGGUCCUACUGGAGCAGGAAAGAGCCUUCCCCAAACUGUUGCCAAAAAGUUGGAUUUGAAAACAACCCCAAAUACAAAAAUGUUGGGACAGGAUGGAUUAUGUAAAUUAGAAUAAAUAAACAA